rnacentral:rRNA from 1 species
UACGUAGGGGGCUAGCGUUGUCCGGAAUCAUUGGGCGUAAAGAGCGUGUAGGCGGUCCGGUAAGUCCGCUGUGAAAGUCGGGGGCUCAACCCUCGAAUGCCGGUGGAUACUGUCGGGCUAGAGUGCGGAAGAGGCGAGUGGAAUUCCUGGUGUAGCGGUGAAAUGCGCAGAUAUCAGGAGGAAUACCGAUGGCGAAGGCAGGUCUCUGGGCUGACACUGACGCUCAUGCACGAAAGCGUGGGGAGCAAACAGG